rnacentral:lncRNA from 1 species
GGUCCAUGAAGCUCAAACCUACAAUUUUCUAGUGAUGGUUAUUGUUGUAAUUCAAAGAUUUAGUUACGACAUGCGAGUCGUGACAAAUUGAUUGGGAUUGGUUAGAGGUGAGGAGAUAAGAAUGGUGGUGUAUUGUGUGGUGCUUGAGGGCAAGCGCAAGAUAAGUGUGGGGCAGUUUGAUAGGGUAUAAAAACAACACCCUUGUCACCUACUUUUAUGUGUUCAAAAUGAAUUAUUUGUUGCUUGAUCAAGUUAUUUUAUCCAUUUUGAUGCAAGACAGGAGUUAAAACCUAAAGCCAGGAAGAACAAUAGGAAGCAAGGGCGAGAACUACAAAAUUACCAUAUGUCAUGUACUUAACCUUGGGCAAGGCUAAGACACAACAGCUACAACAUGUAUUGGCCCCUGUACACACCCUUGCCCAAGGGAUACAUUUAAGCAUAAAUAGGAAAACACAACCAAUCCUUAGGCACGGCUUGUAGCCAAGGCAGUAGGAUGGGACACAAGUUAUGAUCCACUAAGCCUUGGCCAAGGCCAAGGUGACAGUUAAAUUAAAAAGGUUCGUGUGCAAUGGAAACAAACUUUUCCCUAGGCUUUCAC